rnacentral:pre_miRNA from 17 species
UUCCUCAAGGCCCUGUCUCCCAACCCUUGUACCAGUGCUGUGCCUUAGACCCUGGUACAGGUCUGGGGGUCAGGGACCUGUGGAC